GGAUGUGAGGGUGAUCUGGCUGUGACAUGUCACCCCAUUGAUCACCAGGGUUGGUUUGACUGAUCUGGCUGGCUAGGCAGAUGUCCCCUUCCUCUCUCACCGCUCCAUGUGCAUCCCUCCUGAGGCUGUGUGCUCAGUCAAAGAGGGCGACCUUCCCUGAUAGAGGAGAGGACCGUUCUUCGAUCAAGUGUAUACGAGUAGCUGCACUCCCCUGCUAGAAUCUCCAAAGUCCCAAGGUCCAUUUGUAGGUGAACAUAGGGUAGUCAAGCUUCCAAGACUCCAGAUAAAUCCAAAUGAGGCACUGCAUGUGGCAGUCUGCCUUUCUUU
rnacentral:snRNA from 1 species